CAUAAGCAUUAAGAGGUAUAUACAGUUGAAGUCAGAAGUUUACAUACACCUUAGCCAAAUACAUUUAAACUCAGUUUUUCACAAUUCCUGACAUUUAAUCAUAGAAAACAUUCCCUGUCUUAGGUCAGUUAGGAUCACUACUAUAUUUUAAGAAUGUGAAAUGUCAGAAUAAUAGCAGAGAGAAUUAUUUAUAUCAGCUUUUCUUUCUUUCAUCACAUUCCCAGUGGAUCAGAUGUUUACAUACACUUUGUUAGUAUUUGGUAGCAUUGCCUUUAAAUUGUUUAACUUGGGUCAAACGUUUUGGGUAGCCUUCCACAAGCUUCUCACAAUAAGUUGCUGGGCUUUUGGCCCAUUCGUCCAGACAGAACUGGUAUAACUGAGUCAGGUUUGUAGGCCUCCUUGCUCACACACGCUUUUUCAGUUCUGCCCACAAAUUUUCUAUCGGAUUGAGGUCAGGGCUUUGUGAUGGCCACUCCAGUACAUUGACUUUGUUAUCCUUAAGCCAUUUUGCCACAACUUCGGAGGUAUGCUUGGGGUCAUUGUCCAUUUAGAAGACCCAUUUGCGACCGAGCUUUAACUUCCUGGCUGAUGCCUUGAGAUGUUGCUUCAAUAUAUUUACAUAAUUUUCCUUCCUCAUGAUGACAUCUAUUUUGUGAAGUGCACCAGUCCCCCCUGCAGCAAAGAACCCCCACAACAUGAUGCUGCCACCCCCAUGCUUCACAGUUGGGAUGGUGUUCUUCGUCUUGCAAGCCUCACCCUUUUUCCUCCAAACAUAACAAUAGUCAUUAUGGCCAAACAGUUAAAUUUUUGUUUCAUUAGACCAGAGGACAUUUCUCCAAAAAAGUAAGAUCUUUGUCCCCAUGUGCACUUGCAAAUUGUAGUCUGGCUUUUUUAUGGCGGUUUUGGAGCAGUGGCUUCUUCCUUGCUGAGCAGCCUUUCAGGUUAUAUGGAUAUAGGACUCGUUUUACUGUGGAUAUAGAUACUUGUCUACCUGUUUCCUCCAGCAUCUUCACAAGGUCAUUUGCUGUUGUUCUGGGAUUGAUUUGCACUUUUCGCACCAAACUACAUUCAUCUCUAGGAGACAGAAUGCGUCCUGAACGGUAUGAUGGCUGCAUGGUCCCAUGGUGUUUAUACUUGCAUACUAUUGUUUGUACAGAUGAACGUGACCUUCAGCCAUUUGGAAAUUGCUCCCAAGGAUGAACCAGACUUGUGGAGGUCCACAAUUUUUUUCUUUUCUUUUUCUUUCUCUGAGGUCUUGGCUGAAUUCUUUGGAUUUUCCCAUGAUGUCAAGCAAAGAGGCACUGAGUUUGAAGGUAGGCCUUAAAAAUACAUCCACUGGUACACCUCCAAUUUAGUACACCUCCUAUCAGAAGCUAAUUGGGUAUUUGUCUAAAGGCUUGACAUCAUUUUGUGGAAUUUUUCAAGCUGCUUAAAAGCACAGUUAACUUAGUGUAUGUAAACUUCUAACCCACUGGAAUUGUGAUAUGGUCGAUUAAAAGUGAAACAAUCUGUCUGUAAACAAUUGUUGGAAAAAUGACUUCACAGCAGUGUUAUUCACAAAGUAGUUGUCCUAAAUGACUUGUCAAAACUAUAGUUUGCUUAUAUUAAAUCUGUGGAGUGGUUAAAUUAGUUUUAAUGACUUCAACCUAAGUGUAUGUAAACUUCUGUCUUCAACUGUAUGUUCUGUUCUGUUUCUAUGAUACAGUGGAUCGUAAGAUGUCAAUUUGAAAUGUAGCUCAGUCUUCCAAAUGUUUCUGAAUGCAGUUUAUUUUUACUUCCAAUAUUUUCAUUACCUAAAACACUCCCUGUAUGAUGCAAAUGAGCAUCAAAACUCCUACUACUGCUAACUCUUUGCCUCCGACCCGUGACUGAUACCUGACUCUCCCUCGAGAACUUAAGUGCUUCUCAGUAUAUUCUGCUCAGCUGUCCACAGCAAAAGUACUAAAGUGUGAAUGUCUGCAAUUGCAACUCUUUUGCUUACAGUGUUAGUAUGUAAGGUUUUUGGGAUGAUUCUGGAUUUGAGUAUGAAUCAGAACUGUUAAUAAACAGUUUAAAGCUG